UCUUUCUUAGCACUGUAGAUGUGCGUCAGUCUCAUAAUCUGAAGGCCCUGAGUUUGAGCCUCAGAGACGGCA
rnacentral:tRNA from 1 species